AGUUCGGAUUGUAGUCUGCAACCCGACUACAUGAAGCUGGAAUCGCUAGUAAUCGCGAAUCAGAAUGUCGCGGUGAAUACGUUCCCGGGUCUUGUACACACCGCCCGUCACACCAUGGGAGCCGGUAAUACCCGAAGUCAGUAGCCUAACCGCAAGGGGGGCGCUGCCGAAGGUAGGAUUGGCGACUGGGGUGAAGUCGUAACAAGGUACC
rnacentral:rRNA from 1 species